AGUGGCAGUCGUCGGCCAUAUUGUUAUAUACUUUGAAAAUUGGCGCCAAGUCGACACCAUGUUGAAAAUAACCAUUUUGCUAGCUCUUCUAUUCGUAUCAACUCUGGCGCUGAUACCAAGACCACAAGCCACGGUUAACGUUUGUGACCCUGAAGUCUGCGUUCGCUAUGGACAAUGCGAGUCCUUUUCCCCGGACUGCUGUUGUGAUGUACCCGAAGAUUAUAAAAAGUCCCGGUCAAUCCCCAGUGUAAUGGCAACACCAUGGAGAGCGUAAACUUAGAGAAAAAUCAAUAAAACAAAAUGUAAAAACUAUGAAAAAA